GUUACAUAGUAAAACUAGUUCGUGCAUUGAAGCGUGCUACCUAAUUGAAUUGUACUUUGCUCCGUUAAUACGCAGUCUGUACAGCUGUAGACACCAGUAACCAGCACUCUGUGCGUCGUAAGACAUUCUGUUUCGUAACAUAAUGUUGGCACCAAUAAUCUGCAUAUUCGUCAUCGCGCUAGCAGAAAGAGCUGUUUCAUUGACCUUUCCCUGGGGCACUUCAGGAUGCAUCGACUGCGGUUUUGGAAUGUGUCCGGAAGGCCGGCAGGUCUGUGACAUAUCACGUGGCCGGUGUGUGUGUCCCAGCGAGCUGCGUCGAAAUCCAGGGAGAACACCAAAUCUCCCGCAGCUAGUUUCUGGGUGCCUGGACUGUGGAUUUUGUCGGGGAUACUGCGACACAAGCCGGAAUCAGUGCGUGUGUGGUGCGGCAUCACCCUAAAUACCAGAAAAUUUGAGGCCUGGGACUGGGCGUAGGAUUGUGCUGAUGGAUCGAUAUUUUGAAUUUUUUGGAACAAAACAAGAUCCGUUACAGUUAUUAGAAAUAUUGCCGGGUUGCAAAAUCCGAUCUUCGACCAUUAGUAUUAGUUACACUCAAUCUUCAACUCCUGCACGGGCUGGCAACCCCGUGGAGAGGGGGAGUGUUUCAAGCAGCGAAUAAGAAGACGUCUCCCAGUUCAA